AGUGAACGCUGGCGGUAGGCCUAACACAUGCAAGUCGAACGGCAGCACAGUAAGAGCUUGCUCUUACGGGUGGCGAGUGGCGGACGGGUGAGGAAUACAUCGGAAUCUACUUUUUCGUGGGGGAUAACGUAGGGAAACUUACGCUAAUACCGCAUACGACCUACGGGUGAAUGCAGGGGAUCUUCGGACCUUGCGCGAUUGAAUGAGCCGAUGUCGGAUUAGCUAGUUGGCGGGGUAAAGGCCCACCAAGGCGACGAUCCGUAGCUGGUCUGGGAGGAUGAUCAGCCACACUGGAACUGAGACACGGUCCAGACUCCUACGGGAGGCAGCAGUGGGGAAUAUUGGACAAUGGGCGCAAGCCUGAUCCAGCCAUACCGCGUGGGUGAAGAAGGCCUUCGGGUUGUAAAGCCCUUUUGUUGGGAAAGAAAAGCAGCAGGUUAAUACCCCGCUGUUCUGACGGUACCCAAAGAAUAAGCACCGGCUAACUUCGUG
rnacentral:rRNA from 1 species